UACGGGGGGGGGCAAGCGUUGUCCGGAAUCAUUGGGCGUAAAGCGCGUGUAGGCGGCUCGAUAAGUCUGCUGUGAAAGUCCAGGGCUCAACCCUGGGAUGCCGGUGGAUACUGUCGAGCUCGAGUCCGGAAGAGGCGAGUGGAAUUCCUGGUGUAGCGGUGAAAUGCGCAGAUAUCAGGAGGAACACCAAUGGCGAAGGCAGCUCGCUGGGACGUGACUGACGCUGAGACGCGAAAGCGUGGGGAGCAAACAGG
rnacentral:rRNA from 1 species